AAGAGACUUAGUCCUAACCUUACCGUUAAUUUUUGCCAAACAUAUACAUGCAAGUAUCCGCGUUCCAGUGUAAAUGCCCAAGCCCCCUUACAUAUUAGGCCAAAGGAGCGGGCAUCAGGCGCACCACUAGUAGUAGCCCAAGACGCCUUGCUUAGCCACACCCCCACGGGUAUUCAGCAGUAAUUAACAUUAAGCUAUAAGUGAAAACUUGACUUAGUUACGGCAACCUUUUUAAGGGCCGGUAAAUCUUGUGCCAGCCACCGCGGUCACACAAGAGGCCCAAAUUAACUGUACACGGCGUAAAGCGUGGUGACAUGUUAUCAUAACAACUAAGACCAAAAUGUAACUAAGCUGUCAUAAGCUCAAGAUACACUUAAAAUCACCCUCAAAACGAUCUUAGCACUAUCUGAUCGAUUACACCCCCACGAAAGCUAAGGAACAAACUGGGAUUAGAUACCCCACUAUGCUUAGCCCUAAAUCCUGAUACUUACUCCACCCAUGUAUCCGCCCGAGAACUACGAGCACAAACGCUUAAAACUCUAAGGACUUGGCGGUACCCCAAACCCACCUAGAGGAGCCUGUUCUAUAAUCGAUAACCCACGAUACACCCAACCACUUCUUGCACAAGACAGCCUACAUACCGCCGUCGCCAGCUCACCCCACUGAGGGUGCAACAGUGAGCAUAAUAGCCCCUCCCGCUAGCAAGACAGGUCAAGGUAUAGCCUACGAAGUGGAAGAAAUGGGCUACAUUUUCUAGAAUAGAAAAUUCUACGAAAGGGAGUAUGAAACUACUCCCGGAAGGCGGAUUUAGUAGUAAAGUGGGAUAAUCAAGCCCUCUUUAAACCGGCCCUGGGGUACGUACAUACCGCCC
rnacentral:ncRNA from 1 species